ACAAUGGAGAGUUUGAUCCUGGCUCAGGAUGAACGCUAGCGGCAGGCUUAACACAUGCAAGUCGAGGGGCAGCAUAGAUUGCUUGCAAUCUGAUGGCGACCGGCGCACGGGUGCGUAACGCGUAUGCAACCUACCCUAUACAGGGGGAUAGCCCGAAGAAAUUCGGAUUAAUAUUCCAUAGUAUUGUUUAAUCGCAUGAUUAGACAAUUAAAGAUUUAUCGGUAUAGGAUGGGCAUGCGUUAGAUUAGUUAGUUGGGGAGGUAACGGCUCACCAAGACUACGAUCUAUAGGGGGCCUGAGAGGGUGAUCCCCCACACUGGUACUGAGACACGGACCAGACUCCUACGGGAGGCAGCAGUGAGGAAUAUUGGUC
rnacentral:rRNA from 1 species